rnacentral:rRNA from 1 species
GACGAACGCUGGCGGCGUGCCUAAUACAUGCAAGUAGGACGCACAGUUUAUACCGUAGCUUGCUACACCAUAGACUGUGAGUUGCGAACGGGUGAGUAACGCGUAGGUAACCUGCCUAUUAGAGGGGGAUAACUAUUGGAAACGAUAGCUAAUACCGCAUACUCAGUAUGUAACACAUGUUCGAUGCUUGAAAGAUGCAAUUGCAUCGCUAGUAGAUGGACCUGCGUUGUAUUAGCUAGUAGGUAGGGUAAAGGCCUACCUAGGCAACGAUACAUAGCCGACCUGAGAGGGUGAUCGGCCACACUGGGACUGAGACACGGCCCAGACUCCUACGGGAGGCAGCAGUAGGGAAUCUUCGGCAAUGGGGGGAACC